UACGAAGGGGGCUAGCGUUGCUCGGAAUCACUGGGCGUAAAGCGCACGUAGGCGGGUUGCUAAGUCAGGGGUGAAAUCCUGGAGCUCAACUCCAGAACUGCCCUUGAUACUGGCGAGCUUCGAGUCCGGGAGAGGUGAGUGGAACUGCGAGUGUAGAGGUGAAAUUCGUAGAUAUUCGCAAGAACACCAGUGGCGAAGGCGGCUCACUGGCCCGGUACUGACGCUGAGGUGCGAAAGCGUGGGGAGCAAACAGG
rnacentral:rRNA from 1 species